AAAAGUGUUAGUCUUUUGUUCUAUUUUGGUAUCAUGUUUUGAGCUUCCAUUGUUUGGUUAAGAUUGAACAUGAUCUCUUUGGGGUUUGGGGGUUUUUUUAAACUUUUUUGCACCUCUAAGCUCUCAGAAUGGCUGAAAAGCAGACUGGGUUGCAUUGACAUGUAACCAAACCUUCAUUCUUUGCAAUGACAUUUACAAUUUAGCAAAAAAAAAA
rnacentral:lncRNA from 1 species